GUGCCAGCCGCCGCGGUAAUACGGAGGGUGCAAGCGUUAUUCGGAAUUACUGGGCGUAAAGGGCGCGCAGGCGGCCUGGUAAGUCAGUUGUGAAAGCCCGGGGCUCAACCCCGGAAGUGCGACUGAAACUGUCAGGCUUGAGUAUGGUAGAGGGAAGUGGAAUUCCUGGUGUAGCGGUGAAAUGCGUAGAUAUCAGGAGGAACACCGGUGGCGAAGGCGACUUCCUGGCCCAAUACUGACGCUGAGGCGCGAAGGCGUGGAUAGCAAACAGGAUUAGAAACCCGUGUAGUCC
rnacentral:rRNA from 1 species